CCUACGGGGGGCUGCAGUGGGGAAUAUUGCACAAUGGGCGCAAGCCUGAUGCAGCCAUGCCGCGUGUAUGAAGAAGGCCUUCGGGUUGUAAAGUACUUUCAGUCGUGAGGAAGGUGUUAAGGUUAAUAACCUUAGCAAUUGACGUUAGCGACAGAAGAAGCACCGGCUAACUCCGUGCCAGCAGCCGCGGUAAUACGGAGGGUGCGAGCGUUAAUCGGAAUUACUGGGCGUAAAGGGCACGCAGGCGGUUAAUUUAAGUGGGAGGGAAAACCCCGGGGUUUAACUUGGGAAGGGCAUUAAAGAUUGUUAAGUAGGGUCUUGGAAGAGGGGGUAAGAUUUCAAGGUGUGGCGGUGAAUGGGGUAAAGAGGGGGGGGAAUCCCGGUGGGGAAGGCGCCCCCCUGAAAAAAUCUGGAGCUCCUGGUCGGAAGGCGGGGGAGCAAACAGGAUUAGAUACCCCAGUAGUC
rnacentral:rRNA from 1 species